GGCUCAAAUUGUCCGUAACCGGGGACACGUCUAAUCGAUUAGGUUUUAAACUCUGCAGAGUGUUGUGUACUUUACUCGCAAGAUUCGUUCCCUCCUUGUAAGUCCUCGCACUGCCAGUUGUUUGAGAACAGGACGAAUGAAACAUGGUCUUCCAAAGAGUUUCUCUGACCUCUGUCCGUGCCCAUCCAUCCUAACGUAGUUCUACAUCUUGUAGCACCGUCCUGACCAGAGUCGCAACUAAGGUUAACAAAGCUAGAGCCCAUAAUGACUUGUGGUUAC
rnacentral:lncRNA from 1 species